GCCGCGUCCCGCUGCCUGAGCCCCCGGCGAUGCCAGCAGCUCGGUCAGCCAGCCCGGGUCGGGGUGGGUGUCGGGAGCCCUGGAGGAGCCUUCCUCCCGGCCCGGCCCGCCGGGGCCCUGCAGGUUGGAGGCAGAGCCGCCCGCUGACCCCGGCUCCCAGCAGGAUUCGGCCUCCGGAGAGGCUGCGUCCGCCCGGGUGGCCUCCACAGGGGGCUGGGGCUCAGCGGGGUCCUCCUCGGGCUCUGUCACGUGCAGCACGGUGCUGUUCCACUCUGCCUCCUCCUCCUCCUCCUCUUCCUCCUCCUCCUCCGCUGAGCCCUCGGCCUCCAGCUUGGCUACGGGCCCCCCCGGGCACGGAUCCCCCUCCUCCGGCCAGCCGCCAGCCCUAUGGGAUCCACCGUCCCCUCGGGAGCCCGCAGCCUCCCCGUCCGACCCGUUGUCCUCUUCAGAGAGCCCCGAGUCGGCCGCCUCCCGGAUGGGGGAGCUGGGGGGGGACGGCAGCCCCCUGCCCCCCCGGGAGGGGAACGUCCACUCGAAGGAGUGCGAGAGGCUCCAGCUGGACUCGCUGCCCAGCGAGCGCUGCGCCGCCGGCUCCCCGGGCUGGGGCAGGGCGCUCAGCGAGCCCCCCAGCUCCCCCAUGCCCUGCCCUUCGCUGGGGGGGGGGCCGCAGGACCCCCUCGGAGCAACGUCGGAGCCCCGAGUCCCUGCUGGGGGGGGGAAGGCUGAAAUCGGGACCCUCAGGGGACCGCGGGGAUGUAGGGGAGUCAUCGGGUCCCUCCGGGGAGCCCGGGGGACGAGAGGCUCUGGAAGGGGGCUCUGGGGAGGGGCUGGGGGGGGAUGGGGGCUCUGCAGCAGCCUCGGGGGAGCCGGGGGGGUAGGUGGCUCGGGGGGGCAGCUGGGGGGUGCCUGGUGUUGGGGGGCUGGAGGUAGCGGGGGACCCUUCACUGGGGGUGUGCGGGGAGCCGGGGGAGCGGGAGGCAGCGGGCUGGGCUUCGGCUGGGGCGCCCGGAGCCUGGAUGGAGGCAGCGGGGAGAUCCUGGGCUGGGGGCUGAGCGGGGGAAUUGGGGGAGCCGGGGGCCAGGGUGGGGGAGCCGGGGGGCAGCAGCUCCGGGGGGGCUUCGGGAGAGCCGGGGGCCAAGGCGGAGGGCUCGGCGGGCUGGAAAGGAGCGCCCGGGGCUGGAGGCGGGCAGGAGGGGGGUCUCGG
rnacentral:lncRNA from 1 species